GAUGAACGCUGGCGGCGUGCCUAACACAUGCAAGUCGAACGGAGUCCAGCCUUUAAGACCUUCGGGUCAAAGAGGGGAAGACUGAGUGGCGGACGGGUGAGUAACACGUGGGCAACCUGGCUCAUAGAGGGGGAUAACAGAGAGAAAUUUCUGCUAAUACCGCAUAAGCACACACUGCCGCAUGGCAGAGGGUGAAAAGAGAAUCGCUAUGAGAUGGACCCGCGUCUGAUUGGCCAGUUGGCAGGGUAAGAGCCCACCAAAGCGACGAUCAGUAGCCGAUCUGAGAGGAUGACCGGCCACAUUGGGACUGAGACACGGCCCAAACUCCUACGGGAGGCAGCAGUGGGGGAUAUUGCACAAUGGGGGGAACCCUGAUGCAGCGACGCCGCGUGAGUGAAGAAGUAUUUCGGUAUGUAAAGCUCUAUCAGCAGGGAAGAUAAUGACAGUACCUGAAUAAGAAGCCCCGGCUAACUACGUG
rnacentral:rRNA from 1 species